rnacentral:pre_miRNA from 1 species
AGUGGAACUGCUGGGUCAUACGGUAAUUCUAUGUUUAACUUCUUGAGUAACUGCCAAACUGUUUUUCACAGUUGCUGCACCAUUUUACAUUCCCAUUAGCAGU